GGCACAGCAUUGGCACAGGCCCCGGUCUUGGGAUCGCGGAGGGCCUUGGUUCGAAUCCAAUCGUGCCU
rnacentral:tRNA from 1 species